rnacentral:lncRNA from 1 species
CCUGCCUUCCAGUCUGGGUGACAGAGUGGAACCUUGUCUCUGAGAAAAAAAGAAGAAAAAAAAAAGAGGCCAAAGCUAACUUGCCCUCUUUCCACCAUGUGAGGUUACAGGGAGAGGUCAGCUGUCUGCAGCCUGGAAUAGGGCCCUUACUUGUGGUGAGAGGGAUCCGGUGGGAGGUAAUCGAAUCAUAGGGGUGGUUUGCUCCAUUCUAUUCUCAUGACAGUAA